rnacentral:rRNA from 1 species
GACGAACCGUGCAAACGUUGUUCGGAAUCACUGGGCUUAAAGGGCGCGUAGGCGGGCCAGAUAGUCUGUGGUGAAAGCCUCCAGCUUAACUGGAGAAGUGCCGUGGAUACUUCUGGCCUCGAGGAGGGUAGGGGCAUCUGGAACGGUCGGUGGAGCGGUGAAAUGCGUUGAUAUCGACCGGAACUCCGGUGGCGAAGGCGAGGUGCUGGACCCUUUCUGACGCUGAUGCGCGAAAGCCAGGGGAGCAAACGGG